rnacentral:rRNA from 1 species
GACGAACGCUGGCGGCGUGCUUAACACAUGCAAGUCGAACGAAGUGGCGAACGGGUGAGUAACGCGUAAUCAACCUGCCCUUCAGAGGGGGACAACAGUUGAAAACGACUGCUAAUACCGCAUACUGAAGGAGGGGAUUGCGUCUGAUUGGCUCGUUGGGGGGGUAACGGCCCACCAGGGCGAUGAUCAGUAGGCGGUCCGGGGGGAUGAACGGCCCAAUUGGGACGGAGAAACGGCCCAGAACCCUACGGGAGGCAGCAGGGGGGAAGCUUCCGAAAUGGACGAAAGUCUGACGGAGCAACGCCGCGGGAGGGAUGACGGCCUUCGGGUUGUAAAGCUAUGUUAAUCGGGACGCGGUACCGGAAUAGAAAGCCACGGCUAACUACGUGCCAGCAGCCGCGGUAAUUC